CAUGGCCACAACACCCUGGAUGCAUCUGAUCUCAUCUGAUUUGGAAGCUAAGCAGGGCUAGGCCUGGUUAGUACUUGGGAAGGGAGAAAUGGAGAUGUGGCAGGAGCUCCAGGGAGAAGCCCAGC
rnacentral:rRNA from 1 species